rnacentral:pre_miRNA from 1 species
AAUAUUUGACGCCGUUGACUUUUAAAAAAAUGUUUGACCGUUCGUCUUAUUUAAAAAAUUUAAGUAAUUAUUAAUUCUUUUCCUAUCAUUUGAUUUAUUGUUAAGUAUAGCUUUACGUAUACAUAUAGUUUUACACAUUUCACAAAAGUUUUUGAAUAAGACGAACGGUCAAACAUGUUUAAAAAAGUCAACGGCGUCAAACAUU